rnacentral:misc_RNA from 1 species
UAUAGAAAAGGGAAAUGAUCAAAGUUUGUUCUCGUCUCUAAAUGGGUAUUAGGCUCUCCCAUGGCAAAUAUAUUCACAUAUAUAUAUAUAAUAUAUCAAAUAGCAGUGUUAGCUACUUAUGAAAUAAUCAUUGUGGUACGAUGAAUGAUUUGUAGAUGAUAGGAAUUUACCAUGCACUUGAUUUGUAAUACCCUUAUUACCUGCUACUAGACUUGUUAGAAUCCUAAAAGAAGCAUGCAAUAUCCUCUUCUAU